UGCGAUGUCGUACUUUUUGUAGAACGGUCCGGCGAGUUAUGUAUAUGAUGCGAGGUUAAGAACUUUAUAAGGUUUGGAGCCGUAGGGAAACCGAGUGUGAAUAGCGCGAGAUAGUAUCAUAUAAUAGACCCGAAACCGAGUGAUCUAUCCAUGAGCAGGUUGAAACCAGAGUAAAAUCUGGCGGAGGACCGAACUGGUAUUCGUUGAAAAGAAUUCGGAUGACUUGUGGAUAGCGGAGAAAUUCCAAUCGAACUCGGAGAUAGCUGGUUCUCCUCGAAAUAGCUUUAGGGCUAGCCUUGUUUAGUAGCAUAUGGAGGUAAAGCACUGAAUGUUUGCGGGAUCUUACCAGAUUACCAAAAACUAUCAAACUCUGAAUGCCAUAUGUGUAAGAACAGGAGUCAGACAGUGACAGCUAAGUGCCAUUGUCAAAAGGGAAAGAGCCCAGACCAUCAACUAAGGUCCCAAAAUUAUAGUUAAGUGGAAAAGGAUGUGGGAAUCCAUAGACAACCAGGAUGUUGGCUUAGAAGCAGCCAUUCAUUUAAAGAGUGCGUAAUAGCUCACUGGUCGAUGUAGGCCUGCGCCGAAAAUUACCGGGGCUAAACUAUAUACCGAAGUUAUGGAUUUGCUGUUGAAAGAUAUAGCAAGUGGUAGAGGAGCGUUGUGUAAGGGAUGAAGUCAUACUGAGAAGAGUGGUGGACUUUACACAAGUGAGAAUGCCGGAAUAAGUAGCGAGAGCACAGUGAGAAUCUGUGCCGCCGAAAACCUAAGGUUUCCUGGGGAAGGUUCGUCCGCCCAGGGUUAGUCGGGACCUAAGACGAGGCCGAAAGGCGUAGUCGAUGGAUAGCAGGUUCAUAUUCCUGCACUACCGAUAUGUAUUGAAUUAGCAGGGACGCAUUUAAGGAGUCUAAGCGGACAAAUGGAAAAGCCCGUACCGCAAGGUGGAGUGAAAUUAAAGUAGCGAAGUAGAUGAAUUAGGUGACAAGAAAAGCUGUUAAGGAGCAUAUAGGUACUCGUACCGCAAACCGACACAGGUAGGUGGAAAGAGAAUUUUCAGGCGAACGGGAUAAAGGUUGUUAAGGAACUCGGCAAAUUAACCCCGUAACUUAGGGAUAAGGGGAGCCUAUAGAGAUAUAGGUCGCAGAAAAUUGGCCCAAGCAACUGUUUAGCAAAAACAUAGGUCUCUGCAAAAUCGAAAGAUGAUGUAUAGGGGCUGACGCCUGCCCAGUGCUGGAAGGUCAAAGGGAAAGGUUAGCGCAAGCGAAGCUUUGAACUUAAGCCCCAGUGAACGGCGGCCGUAACUAUAACGGUCCUAAGGUAGCGAAAUUCCUUGUCAGGUAAGUUCUGACCCGCACGAAAGGCGUAAUGAUUUGGGCACUGUCUCAACAAUCCUCCCGGCGAAAUUGUAGUACUAGUGAAGAUGCUAGUUACCUGUGAUAAGACAGAAAGACCCCAUGGAGCUUUACUGUAGCUUGAUAUUGAGACUAGGUAGAGGAUGUACAGGAUAGGUGGGAGACUAUGAGAUAUGGACGCUAGUUCAUAAGGAGUCACCCUUGGGAUACCACCCCUCCUUUAUUGGAAUUCUAACUAAUUACUGUAAUCCAGUAAUAGGACAGUGUCAGGUGGGCAGUUUGACUGGGGCGGUCGCCUCCUAAAGAGUAACGGAGGCGUUCAAAAGUUAGCUUAACACGGUCAGAAAUCGUGUGAUAAAGUGCAAAGGCAGAAGCUAGCUUGACUGUAAGAGUGACAACUCGAGCAGACGCGAAAGCGGGACUUAGUGACCCGAUGGUUGUGAGUGGAAAUGCCAGAGCUCAACGGAUAAAAGUUACCCUGGGGAUAACAGGCUUAUCUCCCCCGAGAGUCCAUAUCGACGGGGAGGUUUGGCACCUCGAUGUCGGCUCAUCGCAUCCUGGAGCGGUAGUACGUUCCAAGGGUUGGGCUGUUCGCCCAUUAAAGCGGUACGCGAGCUGGGUUCAGAACGUCGUGAGACAGUUCGGUCCUUAUCUAUCACAGGCGUAAGAUAUUUGAAGGGAUUUGCCCCUAGUACGAGAGGACCGGGGUGAAGGAACCGAUGGUGCACCAGUUGUAUCACCAGAUGCAUAGCUGGGUAGCCAAGUUCCGAAGGGAUAAACGCUGAAAGCAUAUAAGCGUGAAGCCCACCCUAAGAUAAGAUAUCUCAUAACGGUAAGUUAGU
rnacentral:rRNA from 1 species